ACACGUCAUGCACCAGACAGGCUACCGAAGCGAGCGAGGCCGGCUGCGUACGUGAAGUUCGUCUGUUCAGCGACCGGACUCGUUUGGAUGUCUUCUAUCGGCUGGGCUCCCGGCGUAUUGGGUUCCUUCUGCACUUCGACACGGCAGCGCUGCCCUAUUGGACAACGGCAAGGACUUUCCCGUGGCUCAUGGUUAGAACAGCAGGGGAACGAACAGCCGGGCCACGUUCCGCGUACGAAGAAACAAGUUACGAGCCAGACAAGGUGCAGGGAGUCGCCGGGAGCGUACGCAGCUGCGUGAUCGAGUGGGGCGCGGUGUCGAGCCAUGAUCUCGGGCAUCUACACCUCGUCGAGGGCGCUCUUACUCCGCAUCGCUGCUGUUACUUCUUGGAGGGAUUAAAUAUUUUGUGAAAAGUGCGCAAAAUAAACGGGUUGAA